CUCUGACCUCGGAUCAGGUA
rnacentral:rRNA from 1 species